rnacentral:lncRNA from 1 species
CUAUAUUGUCUCUUAAUAGCUAUAGAUAAAGAAUCAGAAAAAAAUGUGUUGAUUAUCUUAUGUAAAAGUUUAUUUGAAUAUUUUUGCAGCUCCAAAAUAAGAUGCAAAUCAAAAAGAAAAAGAAAAUUCCUCAGCUUUGCUCCAGAGGAAUCGGAUACAGAAUCAGAAACAUCCUCCUCUUCCUCGUCCUCUGAAUCUUCGGAAUCUUCUCAACAGCAAGCGGCUGCCGCGCAGAAGCAUAGUCUUCUCAAUGCUUCAAGAAACAUUCCAAAUAGUGGUAGCGCUCAAGAACAAAGCUUCCUAGCCAGUUUGUACAACUUCAUGAUGAACCGACGAACACCUAUUGGUGGUUUGCCCAUGGUUGGAUUCAAAAAACUAGAUCUAUUUCGACUUUAUGAAAAAGUCAGGCUCAUGGGUGGCUACGACUCAGUCACAACUAAUCGGCUAUGGAAGUACGUGGCACAAGAAGCUGGUAAUUCAAGUUUUUGCAAACGGCACUAUGAAAAAUAUCUUCUUCCAUUUGAGAAGCAUAUGUCAGACAAGAAGCAGCAGAAGAUUCAGAUAGAGAACAAAUGCAAGCAGACUGGAGAGGCAAGUAGUAUUCAUGAAACUCCGCAUACUCUUUUCAAGUUGCUUACUCAAUCAUGGAGAAAAAUAAUUGCAGUAAAACAGUGACACAACUAUUAGUAGACUGGGAAAAUUCAUAGUUAAAUGGAAGUUGUGAUUAUAUUGAAGCAAGCUUAAAUAUGCAGUUAAAGCCAUUUAAAGUAUGCUCCCGCAGUUUUCACAGGGUUAUGCAAUAUGUUAAGCAUAAGCACGGUUAUUUUGCAGCUUACCGUUGAAUGAUCCUAUGUGAUAUUAUUGGAAAAAACACAGUCUGUUGACCAAAAAAAUUUUGAAAUUUCAUGAAAUAAAUAUUGUGUAAGCACUUAGGAAACUUUGGUA